rnacentral:rRNA from 1 species
UACGAAGGGGGCUAGCGUUGUUCGGAAUCACUGGGCGUAAAGCGCACGUAGGCGGAUCUUUAAGUCAGGGGUGAAAUCCCGAGGCUCAACCUCGGAACUGCCUUUGAUACUGGGGAUCUCGAGUCCGGGAGAGGUGAGUGGAACUGCGAGUGUAGAGGUGAAAUUCGUAGAUAUUCGCAAGAACACCAGUGGCGAAGGCGGCUCACUGGCCCAUUACUGACGCUGAGGCACGAAAGCGUGGGGAGCAAACAGGG